rnacentral:misc_RNA from 1 species
AAGUCAUAACAAGGUUUCCGUAGGUGAACCUGCGGAAGGAUCAUUAGAGAUUGGCCGAAAGGCUAUUACCCACACACACUGUGAACCGUGGCUUCGGCCUAAACUUUUGUGUAUGAAUGUAAAUUAUUAUAACAAAUACAA